rnacentral:rRNA from 1 species
CUCGUAGGUGGCCAACUAAGUCAGACGUGAAAUCCCUCAGCUUAACUGGGGAACUGCGUCUGAUACUGGAUGGCUUGAGUUUGGGAGAGGGAUGCGGAAUUCCAGGUGUAGCGGUGAAAUGCGUAGAUAUCUGGAGGAACACCGGUGGCGAAGGCGGCAUCCUGGACCAAUACUGACACUGAGGAGCGAAAAGCCAGGGGAGCAAACG